rnacentral:rRNA from 1 species
UACGGAGGAUCCAAGCGUUAUCCGGAUUUAUUGGGUUUAAAGGGCGCGUAGGCGGGCUCUCAAGUCGGGGGUGAAAUCCCACCGCUCAACGGUGGAAGUGCCCCCGAUACUGGGAGCCUGGAGGGAGGUAGGGGUGUGUGGAACUUCCGGUGGAGCGGUGAAAUGCGUAGAUAUCGGAAGGAACGCCGGUGGCGAAAGCGACGCACUGGACCUCUUCUGACGCUGAGGCGCGAAAGCCAGGGGAGCAAACGGG